rnacentral:rRNA from 1 species
UACAGAGGGUGCAAGCGUUGUUCGGAAUUAUUGGGCGUAAAGCGCGUGUAGGCGGCUUUGCAAGUCGGGUGUGAAAGCCCUCGGCUCAACCGAGGAAGUGCGCCCGAAACUGCAGAGCUUGAGUACCGGAGAGGAUGGCGGAAUUCCCCAAGUAGAGGUGAAAUUCGUAGAUAUGGGGAGGAACACCGGUGGCGAAGGCGGCCAUCUGGACGGAUACUGACGCUGAGACGCGAAAGCGUGGGUAGCAAACGGG